GUUAGUCAGAGAAAAACAAACUCAACCGGUUCCAGAAAUAUUUAGAGGUGUGUACAGAAAUAACUAACCAAGUUUAAAAAAAGUAACAUACUCCUGACAACCUUUUAUUCGGUGAGAAAAAACUAUAAAGAAAGAAAUUAUCCAAAAUGAUAAGUAAUGUCACAAGAAGAUGAAACAUCCACACCAAGUCCGACACUCAACGCUGAUAUUAAAAGGGGAUAAAACCAACCUCAAAUCCGAAUUCAGUGCCAACACACUAUCCGCAAAUUAAAUUCCAAACAAGUUAUUAUUGGAUGUCCAAUCCAUAUGCCCAAGUACAACACGCCGAUCAGUCGCUAAUAAGCCAAUAAAAACUCUACAUCAAAUCACCAAACAAUUUAUGUACUCACAGUUUUAAUAUAGUCAAGAAAGUCUAAAAGUAACCACACUGAAAGAAUAGUAAUCAACUGAUAUGUCAAAAACUAACAAUGCAGAAAAUAUAUGAAGGAAAAGGGAGACUUUAACAGCAACUACAUGAAAUCAAACCUCCUAAAAGACGAUUAGUAGUAAUCAAAACAAUAAGAGGACCAAUGCUACCUUAACAAAAUAUUCCCGCAAUUCAGAAUCAAACUACAGAACAAUUAACAUAAGAUAAUCAAUUAACAUAAGAUAAUAAGAUUGGUACUUAAAGAAUUUGGCAUUGGAAAAACUAAUAGAAACGAUUCACAGUAAUACACUGGGGACACAAGCUGUGAUUUCAUAAACUGCGUUUUGUAUUUAUUUUAAAAAUUUUUAAUUAUAAGUGAAAUUCUUAGAGUCUUGCACUAUCGUUAAAUACGUUCGGAUCAUCUUCCAAUCAACACGAAAAUAAACUUAAAAUACGAGGAAAUAAAAAAUGAGUACUAUAACUUUAAUAAAGCAAACUGGUCUCGCUUUAAUAAAUAUAUAAAUCGAAAUCUUCCCGAUAUUAGUACCAAUGAAAUAACUAACACCUCUCAGAUAGACUCAUUGUUAGAUCAGUUUAACUCAUGUAUAAAAAUGGCUA